rnacentral:sRNA from 1 species
GAAGUUGACCAGCAGCCAGAUGUCAGAGUUUGCGUGUUUUGAGCAGCAGCGGCAGCCCCACCGGAGACCCCACGGUGACCUCGUUUCAUCAGCCAGCCCCGCAGGAGGAGGACAGGAUGGGACAUGCUUACAAAAUCAGACUUUGAUGGGCUGCUGCACGAUAAGCUAUAUUCCCUCCUCGGACACAGCUCGCACAGUCUUCUUCACUGGGCUGGAAUAAGGUCCCCGGCAACUUCCACGUGUCCACACACAGUGCCACAGCCCAGCCACAGAACCCAGACAUGACGCAUGUCAUCCACAAGCUCUCCUUUGGGGACACGCUACAGGUCCAGAACAUCCACGGAGCUUUCAAUGCUCUCGGGGGAGCAGACAGACUCACCUCCAACCCCCUGGCCUCCCACGACUACAUCCUGAAGAUUGUGCCCACGGUUUAUGAGGACAAGAGUGGCAAGCAGCGGUACUCCUACCAGUACACGGUGGCCAACAAG